ACUUAUUUCAAUAUUUACAUAUUCAACAUUAGAUUUUAGACCAUAUCUAUAACUAAUUUAUGUAAUUUUUAAUUUUAACAUUUUUUUUUUUGGAUGAAUGUAACACGCUAUCUGUUUCAUUCAUUAAGCAAAUAAAAGUAGCUAUAUAAAGUGAGACAGCCAGGGUCUCGAAAAGGCGCAAAAAACCAAAAAAAAAAUGUAAUGUAU
rnacentral:lncRNA from 1 species